rnacentral:rRNA from 1 species
UACAUGGGGUGCAAACGUUGUUCGGAAUUACUGGGCGUAAAGCGCGUGUAGGCGGUUAUCCAAGUCGGGUGUGAAAGCCUUGAGCUCAACUCAAGAAAUGCACUCGGUACUGGGUGACUAGAGGACCGGAGAGGAUAGUGGAAUUCCCAGUGUAGUGGUGAAAUACGUAGAGAUUGGGAAGAACACCAGUGGCGAAGGCGGCUAUCUGGACGGUUUCUGACGCUAAGACGCGAAAGCGUGGGGAGCAAACAGG